UACGUAGGGUGCAAGCGUUGUCCGGAAUUAUUGGGCGUAAAGAGCUCGUAGGCGGUCUGUCGCGUCGAUCGUGAAAACUUGGGGCUUAACCCUGAGCUUGCGGUCGAUACGGGCAUGACUGGAGUUCGGCAGGGGAGACUGGAAUUCCUGGUGUAGCGGUGAAAUGCGCAGAUAUCAGGAGGAAUACCCAUAGCGAAGGCAGCUCGCUGGGACGGUACUGACGCUGAGGCGCGAAAGCGUGGGGAGCGAACAGG
rnacentral:rRNA from 1 species